UAAGACAGAGGUCCCAAGCGUUAGGCGGAAUCACUGGGCUUAAAGCGUGUGUAGGUGGAUAGGUAAGUGCUUUGUGAAAUCCCACGGCUUAACCGUGGAACUGCUGAGCAUACUGCCCGUCUUGAGCCACUUAGGGGCUACCGGAACAAAUGGUGGAGCGGUGAAAUGCGUAGAUAUCAUUUGGAACGCCAAUGGUGAAAACAGGUAGCUGGAGGUGUGCUGACACUGAGACACGAAAGCCAGGGGAGCAAACGGGAUUAGAUACCCCGGUAGUCCUGGCCCUAAACAAUGUCCACUAGAUCGCGGAACCUCUGACGGUUUCGCGGUCGAAGCAAAAGUAUUAAGUGGACCGCCUGGGAAGUACGGUCGCAAGGCUA
rnacentral:rRNA from 1 species